UUACAGUUGGGUUUAUUACGUGUAUUUUAUUGUUGGCUUCAUGUUCAUUCAUUUUCAUCAAGUGUGAGUUCAUUAAGAGAGCUGUGUUUGUGACUGUAGUUGCUUUGAGUAGCCACAAGGGGAAGCUUCAUGUCGAGUAGAUACGGGAAAUUCAGGGAGGGUGUGCUUUGCAUGCUGGGACACUGAUGCCACACCGAUCUGGAUUUAUUUUCAUGGACACGAGUUGUAUGUUUGUGUUAUGAGAACUCCUGGACGGCUGCGACCGGGGAAAUUGCUGUGACUUGUUUUGUUUACCGAGGACUCCGAAAUUAAUUGAUAACUUCGAAGAGGAUGCACAACCCUUCAUCCUCCUCAUCUUUGUGAAGAGUCACACCUGGAUCAGAUAAGAUCUGAACAAGGCAGGCCCCAGGUGGUGAGAAUCUGCAGCCACACCUUCUCCUCACUGAUACACAGGUGCAAAACAAGACUGUGUGCUCAGCCCCCCUGUACUCCCUGUUCACUUAUGACUGUGCUGCCAAGCACAGCUCCAGUGUCAACAACAGCACAACCAUCCUGGACCUUAUCAUGGACAACGAUGAGACAGCCUAGAGAGAGUAGGUGAAGACACUAACCAGCCCUGCCAGAACAAGAACCUCUGUCUUAAUGACGGCAAAACUAAAGAGAACAUCAGGGAUGGACACCUCCCCAUCCACAUUGGGGAUGCUGAGGUGGAAAAGGCUCGGCAGCUUCAAAUUCCUCUGUGUGCACAUCACAGAUGACCUCUCCAGGACACUACACACUGACACCAUGGUCAAGAAGGCUUUGUUUCAUGAGGAGAAUGAGCAAGUUUGGCAUAAAUGCCAGAAUCCUCACAAACUUCUACAGGUGCACCAUUGAGAGCUUGCUGAUGGGUUGCAUCACAGUCUGGUACAGAAACUGUUCUACCCACAGUAAAUCACUACAGAGUGAUGAAAUCUUUGAACCGAACCAAAUGCGCCAUUACCUUGAAAAUUACGUAUUUCUCUGGGUCUGAACACUGUUGGAAACAAUCCAAUAUGGACUGGGAUAAUCUAAGUAUACAAAUCAACAAAAUAUAUAAAAUAGGUCUAGUCAUAUUUAAACAUUUACAGUAUACCUUUCAAAUGUGACAAUUUUUUUUUACAAAGAUGUGUUGUAAAGAUUUUAUAUUAUUGAUUUAUUUUGAUAUCAGAAGUAAUUAAAAACUGCAACCUUCAGGGCAACAGUUUAAAAAAGGUUAUAGAUUCUUUCUUUUUUUUAAAAUAAAAAUUGCAGGGCCAAAUAUCUUUAAAAUUGCCAGAAUAAAUCAAAACUUUUUGUGAAAUAAACUAAAAGACAGAAUUGGGACAUUUUACAAUGGUUUGUUUGGUCAUUGUUGGUACAUAUAAAUGUAUUUAUGUUGACCUUAUGUCAAGCUUAAAUUGUUUUAAAGAGUGCAGGAAUGCAGUAUAUAUGAAAAAAAAACCUCACUGUAUUUGGGAAUUAAUACCUUCAUGUUUUCCCAAGUAAAAAAAAAAAGAUGGCUAUUCUUUGUCUGCAAAUUGGAUCGUUGGAUGAAGAAGACAAGCUCAAAAUGCCACUUCAUUGAGCUGCAGUGUGCCAGAAACCAAUAAAUAAUUCUCAAAAUGAAAGAAAGCAGCCUGAAAAGAUCAUGCCGUUUUUAUCAUGGAUAUCCAAAGCAAUACUUUAUUGUUAUUAAAAUCCUGUGCUCCAUAGACAGUACCUCAUAUUCCUCUGAAGAGCUGUUUUAAUAUCCUUAUAAUUUAAUAUCCUCAGCAGGAGUCAUUUUUAUCUCUCUGUCUGACACUGCACCCUGCAACUUACAUUUACUGACAGCAAAUGUAGAUGUAGUGCAUCAAGUGACAGUCCUGAAUAAUAAUUACAUGGCAAUGAUAUGUGCAUAGUUUAGUUUUUUUCAUCCACAAGGGUGGUUAAUGAAUGUUGAAUUUGCUGAAAAUUGCAUGCUAAGAAUCAGUUUUGCAUAAUAGUUUUAAGAGUUCACGGCUUGCAGGGAAGGUCAACAACUCAUUUGAUGAAAUGGGAUUUUAAUUCCUGUUUGAGAUUAUUUACAUUGGGCUUAUUCACACAGCACUAGUUUGCACUAAGGCAGUUUUUUCUGAGUGCUGUCUGGACAUCGAGUAUGACUGUACUGUUUAGAUGUGUGUGUCUGUUUUGGAACAAGGGUUGAUUAGAUUGAGUUUGAGAGUAUGUAUGUAUGAAGACAUUUAAUUUCUGGUUUAAUAGUUGGACCACAACAUCGUCUGUGGCUGAACAGCUUCAGAAGCUUUCACAGAUUGUGUCUGGAUUUAUUCUCUUGUCCACCUCGCUGCACUCACCUUCGAUGUCUAAAAUGAUCCAUGACCCAACCCUCAGGAUAUGUGUGGGUGGGUGGGAGGUGAUCUUCCCUUUUAAGCACAUACGUACUGCACACACAGCCAGAUCAGAUCCCGAAUAGGGCAGUAACAGUCAGUGUCUGUGUUUCUUUUAUUUUUUACUAAUACUUUGUAAAAGGUGCUCAGGAAUAUUUUGUAUUUUUUUUUUUUUAAAGUGACCAUGUUAUACAUAAAUUCAAUUUGUUCUUGCUAUGAAAGUGAUGGUACUGCUUACCUAUACAAACAAGCACACAGAAAAGGAAUUUAGGCUGCAAGAAAUGGACAAUGUAUUCUGACUUUCAGGUUUUCCUUUAUGUUGAAUCAAAAGAAGUUCUGUGAUUCUUUUUUUGUUGUUGUUUUGUUUUGUGUGUGGGAUUUAUUGACAUCUAGCGGUGAAGUUACAGAUUGCAACUGACUGAAUACCCCUCAUGUAGCCCUUCCAAGGAGAGACUUAAUGGGGAGAACCUAUAGUGUCUGCAAAACUUGCAAAAUGCGAAAGGCCCUAUCUAGAGGCAGUGUUUUAUUUGUGACUGUCAAAACAUGGUAGUGAUGACUGACUCUGUGGGAGAGGACUCACUCCUUCUGUAGAUAUAAAUUACUCAUUCUUAGGUGACAAAAACACAAUAACUCUUACUUUUAAGUGAUUAUACGCUAAUAAAAACAGUUAGGAAUAUUGUGGUGAAUACUGGUAAAGUAGGACACUUUGAUAACAACUUAACACCUCAGUUAAUACUAUUCUACAUAUCUUAGAACCUCUUCUAUACUGAAAACCAAAUUUUCAAAGCUCUACUGUCAAACUAGGACAUGUUUAUUGGCAAACUGGGACAUUUAAAAUGCAUCCAAUUGUUAUUCAAAAUAGGCCUGAUGAAUAAAAUACACAAUAAUAUAAACAAUAAUAAUAAUGAUAACCAGCAAUAUUUUGUAUUUUGUUAAAUCUAUUUCAUAUUGCUGUUAUGGGCUAGUUUAUUCCACAAAUGCUAAAUUUCAUUUCUGCUUUUUGUAUGAAAGGUUACUCUACUGUACAUGUUAAUAAAGCCGGUGCAAGUAAAUGUCUUUCUGUCUUAGCAUUGCAAGCCAGCUCAAUAUAACCGGUUUAAAUAAAUAUUUCUUAAAUUAUCUAGCAAGCUACUUAAAUUUGUGAGGGACACAUAAAAAAGGAAACUCAUUUCCCCCAUUAGAAUGACUUGGAAUAGCUGUCCCAGUUUGCCAGUAAUAUACCGUCACAGUUUAACAAUAUGCUAUUGGCAACAACAAUAUAUACAUGUAAAGAUAAAAAUGAAGCUUAACUGUCCCAUUUAUUCACCCUAUAUUCUAUUUAUGCUCUAUACUGCUAACCGAUCCUCUUAAAUCUUAUGCACAUUUGGAAUUUCCCCCAUGACUAUUUCCCAUAGUUCAGUGCCUAAUAUGUCUUUUCUCAAGAUAAAAUUGUACAUUGAAUGGCCCUUUGAGGUGACCAGCAAGGCAGACCUGGGUCAUAGAUGAGAUGUUUAAUCAACAUCUUGAUAUGCCACAUCUGUGAGGUGGAUUAUUAUCUUUACAAAGGAUAAAGCCUCAUUAAAAGAUAUUUUACGAUAGAAAAUAAACCUUCUGUGUGCAGAGAAGAAGUCUUAGAUCUUUUACUUCAAUUCAUGAAAAAUGAGAGCAAAUACAUUUUUGUAGGUAGUUAGACUGAUAAUUUCUAGAGUAGGUCAGUGGCAAAAUGGGUAAUAAAAUCAAUUCUUCCCUUUUCCUAUUGAUUUUUUUCCCACAUUUCUAAGAAUGGUGGGAGACAGAAAACAUCUUGACAUUCCGCUUUUCCUCCAACACAGUGCAUAUUGCCGCAGGGUGCCUUAUUAAGAGGUGUUUGGGAAAGAUGUUUUCGAGAGUAUGUUUCAAUUAUUGACAGGUAGGGAGUAGCUAAAACUAUCAAUGCCAAAAAUGAAAGUAGGGCUGACUGCAAAUACUCCUGUGUUCAAUACAUGCAUCCUCUUAAUAACCACACCUAUUGAUUGGCUCAUUUUAUCACUGUUGUGUAUCAGUACAGUAGCAGUACUGUGGUAGCAGCACAGUAUAUACCAUAUACAUUUUACCCUAAGCAUUUUGCUGAGGCUCAAGCAGGAGACCUCUAUGUCAGGCAUCAGUUUUUUGGGGUGGGUUUUAACUGAUCUUAAAGAAAUUAGGUGCUGUUUACUCUCCUUAUAUACUGUAGCACACCAAGACUUAGAAUGCAUGGUGAAAUCUACACAGUGUUAGUGAAACAGAGGAAACUGUCUAUCACUUCUCUACACGUUCUCCAUUACUAUCCAGCCUUGGUCUUUGUAUUCCAUACAUUGUUCAGUAUGCUGACUUUUACCUUGUUCACAAAGGACUAGUAUUUGUAUCCAAUGUAAUUAAUUUCCUCCAAAGUAUUGCAUUUUGUGAAACAUAUUUGUUUGGAAAAUAGCUGAAAUCACCAGUUCCGAAACACAACUGUGUGAAACUUUGUCACUGUCUGUGAAAGAAAAGCCAAUGUUUCCACUGAAAAGAGUUCAGCUUGCAUAAAAUAGUAUUGUCUGGGGAUGUGAUCAACAAAAGUUAACUGUUCGGGUACAUAGUCUUCACACAUUAUGCCAUGGAAGCACACAGCUAACUCUAUAAUGAUAACGGCUGAAGAAAGAGAGACAUCAUCAUCCACAGUCAAACCACAGGUGGCCUAUGUCAUUCAUCUUCUGAACAUCAGGAGCAGCCCAUUUUCCUCACGUGGUGACUACCAGGUAGGAUAUCUCAUUAGAUCACACAACACAGUAAAGCAGGCCACGUGCCA